rnacentral:misc_RNA from 1 species
GCAAACUUGGUCAUUUAGAGGAAGUAAAAGUCGUAACAAGGUUUCCGUAGGUGAACCUGCGGAAGGAUCAUCAACGAUUUAUAUCUCUAAAUCCUACUCAUCCCGUGUGCAGUCUUUUACCAAGUCUGACAUCCUUGGAGAGGUCACCAUUCGUGAACUCUCCAAGGAGGUUAUCACGAUCAAUGUAUCUUUUUUUUUUUACUAUCCUGUGUCUAAAUUAGUAAAUGUAAUUUGAAACAACUUUCAACAACGGAUCUCUUGGCUCUCGCAUCGAUGAAGAACGCAGC